GCCACGACUCUCAAUAAUGGAUAUCUCAGCUCUCACCACGAUGAAGAAUGUAGCAAAAUUUGAUACUUAGUGUGAAUUGCAAAAUCCCGUGAAUCAUCAAGUCUUUGAAUGCAAGUUGCGCCUAAGGCUCUGGCCAAGGGCACGUCUGCUUGGGCAUCACAC
rnacentral:rRNA from 2 species